rnacentral:tRNA from 1 species
GCCCCCAUAGCUCAGUUGGAUAGAGCAUCUGCCUUCUAAGCAGAGGGCCACUGGUUCGAGUCCAGUUGGGGGUG